rnacentral:rRNA from 1 species
UACGUAGGGGGCUAGCGUUGUCCGGAAUCAUUGGGCGUAAAGCGCGCGUAGGCGGCCCGGUAAGUCCGCUGUAAAAGUCCAGGGCUCAACCCUGGAACGCCGGUGGAUACUGUCGGGCUAGAGUCCGGAAGAGGCGAGUGGAAUUCCCGGUGUAGCAGUGAAAUGCGUAGAGAUCGGGAGGAACACCAGUGGCGUAAGGCGGAGCUGACCCUG